CAGAGUUUACCAAAAACGAGGUCCUUUAAUCAAACGGGGUCGGUACACAGGAAGGCAAAAAGAGAAAGCAACGGUACAAAAAGGACUAGAGCUGAGGCAAGGUCAAAAAACACAGGCAAGGGUCAAAACCUAUGGCUACUAGAGAACAGUAUUUAACUAAGGCUGGUAGGUCUGGCAGAAACACAAGACAAACUGGCAGGGAGUGCAGGGAGACACAGACACUAAAUACACAGGGGCAGGGCAGACAAUGAGACACAGGUGAACCACAUUAGGGCAGGGUAGGUAAUCACCAGGAGGAGGGAGCACAGAAGGAAGGGGAAGACAAGACACCUGAAACAAGAGGGAGGUCAGUGAUUACAAAAUAAAACAGGAAAUAAAACAAACACAACAGAACUACAAAAGAAAAGCCCUGGCUCAGAAAUGACACCCUGACACCUGAGCUGAAAUCAUCUCUGCCUUCAUCAGCUGCUGCUGCGGUGACGCGGCUCGCGAGAACGAAUCAUACAUCCAUGGAACGAAUCAAAAGAACUCCUCCAGUCCGGAGUUUCUAAAGACUACUCCACCUCACUGAAGAUGUCCCUUUCCCUUGUCAUCAAGAAAAGGUAAAGGCCCAGCUGGCUUUGCAGGACCCCACACAGACAACGGUGAUAAGUGGAAACCUGUUUGGAGAAUGCAGCAUUGCUCUACAUCUGGACGUGAGGGACCUGCUUGUAGAAGAACCUACUGACAUCACCAUGGCUACAGACAUAAUAAUGGUUGUCUCCUUCCUUUUCAGCCUUAAGUGUGUGAAACCCAUAAAGUGUGCAUUACUAUUCCUACAGACUUUGGGCAUUCAGGAGGGGAGCAUCAAACUCCCUAGAGCUGUUCUGUGACUGCUGAAUAACUGAAAAAGUGAGAGGUCAUGUUGGCAAAUAGCAUCAUCAUGUUUUCCGUUAUAAUGCAGACUUGUUUUUAUUGUUUUUCAGUUUCUCUUUUAAUGUAAAACACUUAUUGUUGAGUACUUAACAUUUGAAUUAAAAUGUGCUAAUAAAAAAUUCUUAUUAAAAUUAUUAUAAUAGAGGUUUGCAGUUCCCAAACAUAGAUUUUGUUG